CCUACGGGGUGCAGCAGUGGGGAAUAUUGGACAAUGGGCGAAAGCCUGAUCCAGCCAUGCCGCGUGUGUGAAGAAGGCCUUCGGGUUGUAAAGCACUUUCAGUGGGGAAGAAAGCCUUGGGGCUAAUACCCUCGAGGAAGGACAUCACCCACAGAAGAAGCACCGGCUAACUCCGUGCCAGCAGCCGCGGUAAUACGGAGGGUGCGAGCGUUAAUCGGAAUUACUGGGCGUAAAGCGCGCGUAGGCGGUCUGAUAAGCCGGUUGUGAAAGCCCCGGGCUCAACCUGGGAACGGCAUCCGGAACUGUCAGGCUAGAGUGCAGGAGAGGAGGGUAGAAUUCCCGGUGUAGCGGUGAAAUGCGUAGAGAUCGGGAGGAAUACCAGUGGCGAAGGCGGCCUUCUGGACUGACACUGACGCUGAGGUGCGAAAGCGUGGGUAGCAAACAGGAUUAGAUACCCCUGUAGUC
rnacentral:rRNA from 1 species